GACGAACCGUGCGAACGUUGUUCGGAAUCACUGGGCUUAAAGGGCGCGUAGGCGGGUCACCAAGUCCGGGGUGAAAUCUUUCGGCUCAACCGGAAAAUUGCCUUGGAUACUGGUGGUCUUGAGGGAGGUAGGGGCAUGUGGAACUUCCGGUGGAGCGGUGAAAUGCGUAGAUAUCGAGAGGAACGCCGGUGGCGAAAGCGACUUACUGGACCGUUUCUGACACUGAUGCGCGAAAGCUAGGGGAGCAAACAGG
rnacentral:rRNA from 1 species